GUGACCUGCGGAGGAUCAUUACAGAGUUAGGGUCUUCCAGGCCCGAUCUCCAACCCUUUGUGUACCUACCUUUGUUGCUUUGGCGGGCCCGUUGGGGCGACCCACCGGUGGCCUUUGGCUUCCGAGUGCCCGUCAGAGACCCUUCCAAACCUGUCAAUUGUGUCGUCUGAGUACCAAUUCAAUAAUUAAAACUUUCAACAACGGAUCUCUUGGUUCUGGCAUCGAUGAAGAACGCAGCGAAAUGCGAUAAGUAAUGUGAAUUGCAGAAUUCAGUGAAUCAUCGAAUCUUUGAACGCACAUUGCGCCUCUCGGUAUUCCGGGAGGCAUGCCUGUUCGAGCGUCAUUACACCACUCAAGCUCGGCUUGGUGUUGGGCCCUCGUCCCUCGCGGACGUGCCCGGAAAUCAGUGGCGGCGCAGCCCGGCUUCAAGCGCAUCAGUCGUAACAACACUUUGGAAGUCCGGGUCUGGGUCUGCCAGACAACCCCAUCAUUUUAUCAUGGUUGACCUCGGAUCAGGUAGGGAUACCCGCUGAACUUAAGCAUAUCAAUAAGCGGAGGAAAAGAAACCAACAGGGAUUGCCUCAGUAACGGCGAGUGAAGCGGCAACAGCUCAAAUUUGAAAUCUGGCUCUUUCAGGGUCCGAGUUGUAAUUUGCAGAGGAUGCUUCGGGUUCGGCUCCGGUCUAAGUUCCUUGGAACAGGACGUCAUAGAGGGUGAGAAUCCCGUAUGUGACCGGUCGCCACGCCCGUGUGAAGCUCCUUCGACGAGUCGAGUUGUUUGGGAAUGCAGCUCAAAAUGGGUGGUAAAUUUCAUCUAAAGCUAAAUAUUGGCCAGAGACCGAUAGCGCACAAGUAGAGUGAUCGAAAGAUGAAAAGCACUUUGGAAAGAGAGUCAAACAGUACGUGAAAUUGUUGAAAGGGAAGCGCUUGCAAUCAGACUUGCCCGCGGGUGAUCAGCCGGUAUUCUUACCGGUGCACUCGCCCGUGGUCAGGCCAGCAUCGGUUCGGGCGGCUGGAUAAAGUCCACCGGAACGUAGCUCCCCUCGGGGAGUGUUAUAGCCGGAGGUGCCAUGCAGCCCGCCCGGACCGAGGACCGCGCU
rnacentral:sRNA from 1 species